UUAUUUUAUUUUAUUUUAUUUUAUUUUAUUUCACUUCUGGAGACACCAGUGGAGGAACGCACAGCCCCAUCACUGAGCAGAGGGCGGCAGGCUGCCAGCUCCCAUCCCUGGUUUUCUAGCAGCAUGGCACCGGGCAGAUUCCCCAGAGACGAGCCAAGCGCAGCGAUGCCCCCGUGGCUGUGGGGCCGUUUAGCUUCUCGGGGGCUGUGCUGGAGCACGACCAAAGGGUGAGCCACAGGGGAAGGUGCAAGAGAGGCACCGCACCAAGGCUGAGUACAGCAGAGCCCCUUUGCCAAAAAAUGCGUACUGAAGACAACAGGGGCAGUGAGGGGUGCCGUCACCCAACCCCAUCCCCAUUCCACGGCCUCUCCUCAAGGAUAUCGCCGUGUGUUCUGGAACCACCGCGGACGCUAGGCUCACUUGUAGACAUCAAUGACCGUGAAGCACCAGCAGCAUGCCACCAGCGACCAUUCCUUGAGGCAGGUGGCCACGCCAACCCAUCUCCGCACGGAAUUUGUCACAGGUCAAGUUACCACACGCCACGUCCAACGUGACUCCGGCGUUACUCACCGUGUUUACUCCUUCCAGCCCCGUCGCCGCUCCCGCCGCGCAGAACCAGUCGCGGCAGCUAAGCGAAGCCGCCCCAUGUGCUGGAGACGUCAGGUCAUGGACGUCCUCCCAAGGGGUGUAAUUAGACAUCACCGCACCCUCCUUACGCACGUUGGGCUUGACGAGGCUUGUCGGGCUGCGAGCCCCCGAGCAACACGAGGGAAAAGCACACGCCCUACGUCGAAUGGUUUCGGAGCAAAAGCCUCCUCAGCUGAGACAGGAGCCUAAAUCGAUCAGUGGCAGAAGGUGAUUGCAUUCACGAAGGGUCCCUCUCCCUUCUGUGAUCGUCCUGUUUUCAUAUGCUUGUUUUCACUCCGAUGUAGAUGGACUCUUCAUUUGCAUGCUGGUAAUUGAUCGCAUAUUUAACUCUUCUGCGUGCUCUGCUGGGAGUUGUUGGGUUACUUAAAUGUAGGUCAAAUAGGAGAGGACUUGGGAAAAAAGCGAGGGAGAGAAAAUUGAGAGAGGAAAGGUCAUGUGCAGCGUGGUGCACACAGAUGGCUUAUUAUCGCUAGGACCAUGUGGCAGAAUCCAAACUCGUCCGACAGGCUGUUUUCGUGAUGCAAAACUCCUUCAGGGACCGCCGAACCUCCGAAAGUAUCCGCGUGAAUUCUGCAGGAUGUUCUCACUUAGCUGACCUCGCAGAAGCCUUGGAAUAGUUGCAAUUUCAAAUCUGCUUUUGCAAACUAAGAGGUUUAGCGCAAGGCUGUGAUGGGAUGGAGAUCCGUUUUAAUGUUCACCAGGUCUCUAAACCCAGACCCCACAGGUUUUGCAAGAGUAGCUGGACAUUCUGUAGGGCCCUCAUCUCAGCAGGGGUAAAGUAACAGCAGCACCUUCCCGUGGCUCAACCCUUACUUUCCUACUGCUCAAAGACCAUGCGGAAAGCAAAAAAUGAAGCGACUGAAAGAUUUAUGUUGGAACUGGAUCCCCAUGGAUCAGAACACGAAUAACACCUCCGUCCCCUCCCAAAUCUACCAGACCUGACCUUUCACAAUCACCAUUUCCUGACCACUGACUCCAAAGAAAAUAGAGCUGCUGGUUGGUAUUUAAUGGAAAUCUGCUCAAAACUUGUCAAAAUACACCACCGUGCAUGUCAGAUGCCUGGGACAAGACCUCUACAGUAGUUUCCAGAAACCCAGUGCAAUUACUUACAUUUUAAAUUAUCUUUAAUUGUCGCAUGUGAGUUACAGAAACAUUUUUCCCCACUCUGAAGCAAGACCUCGCUAUUAAGAGUCACCCCAUAAUUGCAGCUUUAAUAGGGGAACCGCAGCAGGUCAGCCGCGAAGGUUAGCGCGGGGCGCAGCGAGGCGAAAGCGGCUGCUGCACACCCGUAAGUGGAAGUGACACACCACAAUAGCCCCAUCAAUUAUGUAGGGGCAGUUUGGAGUGUAAACUUUUUAGCGAAUCUAAUUACCCCACCAGAUGUUUUAAUCCAAUCUCCCUGCCCCUCCCCUGCCAUCAAAUGCGCUGUUGGUUUUUUGAGCUCCUGGUACGAAAAAGUCACCUGGGCUACACACUCUAAAUGAAACUUGAUGAGUUUUUUUGCAGGACCUGAGCAUCCUUUUGCUAUCCGAGAGAUUAUUCAGGUUUGUGUGUGGGUGCACACAGAUUCAGGGCACAUGGGAUCGAAGCGAAUCAGAAUGAACGCACUCCUGCAUCGAUAAGGUUGGCACAGAGGGUGCAAGACUGAUGAAAAAUAGAUGAGCUGGUGUAAAUGCGCUCAGGAGCUAAAUGACAACUGUUAGCCUGGCGAUGCCAAAUGUAAGCAGGCCCUGUCAAUAGCAUUAGAGAUGCCGCACCAGAUUUUCCAAGGCUGUUUGCAAAUUGACCUAAUGUUCCUGUUGACACAAAACCUUGAAAGCGCAGCUAAAAGCAGCAUUGCUGAACACGCCUGAUUUGCUCACAGAUUGCGGUCAGAUGUGAGCAUGAAAGAAACUACUUGCCUGUGCAUCUAGGAGAGGGGAAAAUGGUGAAUUAACUGUGCACACGGCCGCCUGAUGCUACCUUCCAGAAGCAGCUGUGGAGAGCAGGGAAGGAACCUACCGGCAUGGCGAGGAGUUUCCUCCUCCUGCAGUGAACUGUGGUUUUGGCUUGGUGGGAAAUCGGGGUGUGUGCAUGCAAUGUGUUGACCAGUCCUCAGCCUUGACUGUGGUGUUUGGAAAAAUCUGUCUUUGACAACUUAAAACCCUAUCAUGGGAAAAAAGAAAAAAAAAAACACAAAAAAACACAACAAAAAAAAAAACCAUAAACCAACAACAACAAUAACAAACCCACAACCACAAAUCAGAGGAGUCUCAAUCUGUUCUUCAUUAGAGCUCCAGUUGACUAAUUUGCUGGUCGUUAUUUUCGCCAGCUUAUCACAUUAAUAGACGCUUUUCUUCCCUUCUAGCCCAGUUCCCCAGUCGGAGAGCAGUCAGACUUGUACCAAGUACAACUUCAGGCACAACUCUUGGGAUGGAAACAUGCAGAGCAAACAAUGAAACAAGACUGUUUAUAAAGCCUUCAACACAUUAGGCAGUGGAGAAGAGCCCAAGUUUCCACGUAAAGGCCUGAAUGGACAAGAAUGACGUGGAACACAUGGAAAAUAUGGAAAAUGUGGAAUAAGUAAUAAAAUUAUAAAUAAAACAAAUACA
ensembl:lncRNA